rnacentral:misc_RNA from 1 species
GUCUUUCUAUCUUUUGUGUUUUUGGAUUAUAUGGGUAUGGAACAUUCUCACUGAAGGGUAAGAAUUUUCUUUCCUCUAUUGAUAUGUUUUCAGGUACUAGCCAUAUGACAUGUUUAUCAGUUGUUUGAAUGUUGUUCAUAUAAUUUUGUGCUUGCAAAAUUUUGUCUGGGGUUUUUAUAUCUAUGUCGUUCUCUGUUGCUUCAACUCUUCUCUUUGCUAUGGUGAACCCUUGUUGGACAUUUAUUGGACGCUUAAAAUGGACA